rnacentral:tRNA from 1 species
UUUAAUGGAAGCCAAAAUGAGGCUUAUCACUGUUAAUGAUAGAACUGAAGCACCCUUCCCAUUAA